rnacentral:rRNA from 1 species
UACGUAGGGUGCAAGCGUUAAUCGGAAUUACUGGGCGUAAAGCGUGCGCAGGCGGUUCCGCAAGUCAGAUGUGAAAUCCCCGGGCUCAACCUGGGAACUGCAUUUGAAACUACGGGGCUAGAGUGUGUCAGAGGGGGGUGGAAUUCCACGUGUAGCAGUGAAAUGCGUAGAGAUGUGGAGGAACACCAAUGGCGAAGGCAGCCCCCUGGGAUGACACUGACGCUCGAUGCACGAAAGCGUGGGGAGCAAACAGGAUUAGA